rnacentral:rRNA from 3 species
AACUUUCAACAACGGAUCUCUUGGCUCUUGCAUCGAUGAAGAACGCAGCGAAAUGCGAUAAGUAAUGUGAAUUGCAGAAUUCAGUGAAUCAUCGAAUCUUUGAACGCACCUUGCGCCUUUUGGUAUUCCGAAAGGCAUGCCUGUUUGAGUGUC